AUGCACGCUGGCGGCGUGCCUAAUACAUGCAAGUAGAACGCUGAAGGAGGAGCUUGCUCUUCUGGAUGAGUUGCGAACGGGUGAGUAACGCGUAGGUAACCUGCCUGGUAGCGGGGGAUAACUAUUGGAAACGAUAGCUAAUACCGCAUGACAACAGUUAUUGCAUGAUAACUGUUUAAAAGGGGCAACUGCUCCACUACCAGAUGGACCUGCGUUGUAUUAGCUAGUUGGUGAGAUAACGGCUCACCAAGGCGACGAUACAUAGCCGACCUGAGAGGGUGAUCGGCCACACUGGGACUGAGACACGGCCCAGACUCCUACGGGAGGCAGCAGUAGGGAAUCUUCGGCAAUGGACGGAAGUCUGACCGAGCAACGCCGCGUGAGUGAAGAAGGUUUUCGGAUCGUAAAGCUCUGUUGUAAGAGAAGAACGAGUGUGAGAGUGGAAAGUUCACACUGUGACGGUAUCUUACCAGAAAGGGACGGCUAACUACGUG
rnacentral:rRNA from 1 species